UACGAAGGGGGCUAGCGUUGUUCGGAAUCACUGGGCGUAAAGCGCACGUAGGCGGACUGUUAAGUCGGGGGUGAAAUCCUGGGGCUCAACCCCAGAACUGCCCUCGAUACUGGCGGUCUUGAGUGUGGAAGAGGUUGGUGGAACUCCGAGUGUAGAGGUGAAAUUCGUAGAUAUUCGGAAGAACACCAGUGGCGAAGGCGGCCAACUGGUCCAUUACUGACGCUGAGGUGCGAAAGCGUGGGGAGCAAACAGG
rnacentral:rRNA from 1 species